UACGAAGGGAGCGAGCGUUGUUCGGAAUCACUGGGCUUAAAGCGUGCGUAGGUGGAUUGGUAAGUAAGGAGUGAAAUCCCAGGGCUUAACCCUGGAACUGCUCUUUAGACUGCCUGUCUGGAAUUCGGAAGAGGUUGGUGGAACUCCCAGUGUAGAGGUGAAAUUCGCAGAUAUUGGGAAGAACACCGGUGGCGAAGGCGACCAACUGGUCCUUGACUGACGCUGAGGCGCGAAAGCGUGGGGAGCAAACAGG
rnacentral:rRNA from 1 species